rnacentral:tRNA from 1 species
GGGCAGUUAGCGCAGCGGUAGCGCACCUCGUUUACACCGAGGGGGUCAUAGGUUCAAAUCCUAUACUGCCCA